CAGGAAGCAAUCCCCAGACAGCUUAGGACUCAUGAGAACUAGCAUGUCAGGGACAGGCUCACAGAACAAACACAGCAGGGUCUCUGAUACUCUCAGACUCCCAGCCAGAGGUCCCUGAGAGGUUAAGCCAGGGAUGCUGGAGGAGGUGCCUCAGGGGAAGGUGACAAGAACCAUCACACCGAAGACCUGUAAGAGGUUACAGCUGGAUGGGGUGAAGCGACUUCCCUAAGAAGACACAGAGGCGUGGUGCUUCCUUCCUGACUGACCCACCCUGGACUCAUCCAUCACCAUCAGAAAACACCAUGGGAAAGAUUUCAAUGGAGCAUGAUGGGAAACGUGCAUACUAGGAGAUCCAUAACAGGUCACAGAGACAACUGUAGGAAAGAGAGGGGAUAUGGUAGCUCAGAGCAGAACACAGGAUCUUCGAACAAAGUGCCUUUCAGAACUGCUUGCUGUUGGUUCUCAUUUCUACAUGAAGUUGGUACCCUUAUAGACAUGGCAAAGACUGGCAGCAUCACAUGGCCAGUGUCAAGUCAUGGUCGGUGUCA